GAUGAAGAACGUAGUGAAAUGCGAUACGUAAUGUGAAUUGCAGAAUUCAGUGAAUCAUCGAAUCUUUGAACGCACAUUGCGCCCGCCAGUAUUCUGGCGGGCAUGCCUGUUCGAGCGUCAUUUCAACCAUCAAGCCCCCGGCUUGUGUUGGGGACCUGCGGCUGCCGCAGGCCCUGAAAUGCAGUGGCGGGCUCGCUGUCACUCCGAGCGUAGUAGUUACAUCUCGCUCUGGGCGUGCUGCGGGUUCCGGCCGUUAAAAGCCUUAUUUACCCAAGGUUGACCUCGGAUCAGGUAGGAAGACCCGCUGAACUUAAGCAUAUCAAUAAGCGGAGGA
rnacentral:misc_RNA from 1 species